CCACCGGCUCGUGACGUCCGGCUCAGUGACGUCGUGAUGAUCGCCUUUUGGGGCGCUGACCGGCUGCGGUUACUAUG
rnacentral:tRNA from 1 species